rnacentral:rRNA from 1 species
UACGUAGGGUGCGAGCGUUAAUCGGAAUUACUGGGCGUAAAGCGUGCGCAGGCGGUUUUGUAAGACAGGUGUGAAAUCCCCGGGCUUAACCUGGGAACUGCGCUUGUGACUGCAAGACUCGAGUACGGCAGAGGGGGGUGGAAUUCCUGGUGUAGAGGUGAAAUUCGUAGAUAUCGAGAGGAACACCUGCGGCGAAGGCGGGUUGCUGGGCUGACACUGACGCUGAGGCGCGAAAGCUAGGGGAGCGAACGGG